rnacentral:rRNA from 1 species
UACGAAGGUGGCAAGCGUUGUUCGGAAUUACUGGGCGUAAAGGGCUCGUAGGUGGCCAACUAAGUCAGACGUGAAAUCCCCCGGCUCAACCGGGGAAUUGCGCUUAAAACUACUGUGCUAGAGGAAGACAGAGGUGAGCGGAACUUCGGGUGGAGCGGUGAAAUGCGUAGAUAUCAGAAGGAACAUCAGUGGCGAAGGCGGCUUCCUGGACCAAUACUGACGAUCAGGUGCGAAAGCGUGGGGAGCAAACAGG